UGGAGAGCAGGCGAAGUGGCCUGGAGCAGGGGGCCGUGCCCAGCUGGUCCGGGGUAGUGGGCCUGGACCAGGAGGCGGGCCGGGAGUGGGGCGGAGCCUGGGGAGUCUGUGAUGAGGCCGGGGACAGAGGGCGGGGCCUAGUGGGGUACCGGAUGCGGCAGACGCCUGGAGCGGGAGAGAACACUUCGCUUCUGAUGCUUGUGGUCACCAAAUGCAUGGAGGUUUUUCCCCCACACAAUUCUCUCUAACACCAGCUCAAGUCUGACACCAUCGACCCGGAGAUGGGACCAGACCCUACAGGUUAAGGGCUCAGCCCCACAAGACUGCCCUGACCUCCACUUCAGCUGCCACUGUCCCCUGUGCUUCUGACUGACUCACUACAGACGGGAGGCUCCCACAAGCCCCUCCUAAGGUUAGUUUGCUAAAGCAGCUCACAUAACUCAAGGGAACACUUAGAAGUUUAUUAAAGGACACGAAAAAAACCCCCACAAAUCAACAUCCAGGUGAAGGGAUGACAGGAAAAGGUCAGGAAGGGGCUCAAAUCCACAAACCAUGAGAUCAUGACCUGAGCCAAAACCAAGAGUCAGAUGCUUAACCAACUGAGACACCCAGGUGCCCCAAUGACUUCAACUGAACAAAAAGGACCAGAAAUGAAGUAAAAGAUAAGCUAUAGGUCCACGGAAAUAGACUGCAAGUCAUUUAACAAAGGACUUAUAUUCAGCAUAUACAAAGAACUUCUACAAAUCAAGAAGAAAGACAUGAACAACAAAAAUGGGCAAAGAUAUGAAUAGGCAAUUCACUGGAAGGAAACACAAAUAUCCAAUAACCAAGACAUUCAGUAACCAGUGAUUUCUCCUGUCCUACUGAAUGGAUUAAUCCUGUCCACAGGCAAAAAUUUGCAUGGAUGCUCUACCUUAGGACAACAGCACUCUUUCCCAUAUGUAUCUUUCCAGCGACUGUGCAUAUUUCUAUUUCCCUUCAUCCCUAAUGUCUAAGAAUUUAUAUAUAGUUGACACUUGAGCAAUGCAGGGAUCUUGGGCACUGACCACCACCACACACAAAAUCCACAUAUGACACUGACUGCCCCCCUCUGCAACUUUACUACUAAUAGCCUACUGCUGAUCAGAAGCUUAACCAGUAACAUAAACAGUCAAUUAACACAGAUUCUGUGUCCUAUGUAUUAUAAACUUUAUUCUUACGAUAAAGUAAGCCAGAGAAAAGAAAACCUUCUUAAGAAAAUCACAAGGAAGAGGAAAUACAUUUACAGUGCUGUGCUGCAAAAGACCUGUAUGUAAGUGCACCAGUGCAGUUCAAGCCUGUGGUGUUCAAGGGUCAGCUGUAGUUUUUGCCUUGCACUCCAGCAGGGCAUCAGUCCCCAGCAGUCCUGUGGAAUAGCUCCUGGCAAACUCAUCACAGCCUCCGGGUUUGCCAACCCACAGUCUCUGCUAAUCUUGUCUUUCAGGGUGUGGAGUGGCUGGGCAGCUGGCUCCUCUUGGGAACAUGAUGUCCUGGCUUCUGUGACUCUGCAGCUUUCCUGUGCAACCUCCAAAUGCUCAACGGCCCCAGGCCUCGGUCCUAGACCCUUUACUCUCUUUACUUUCUUCCUGGGUAAUCACAUCGAAUCCCAUACCUUCAAGUACUGUUUACAUACUGAUGAUUCCUAAAUUCAUGUCUCCGGCCUGGACCUUUCCUACAGCCCAGACUCAUAAACCCAGCAGCUUAGUCCUUAUCUCCAUUAGGAUCUCUCCUAGACAACUCCACUGAUGCCCCAAAUGGAAUUCCUGAGUCACCCCUACACCUGUUACUCCCACUCACCACCCCACCCCCACUCUCUGUCUCUGUGAAAGACGCAGACAUGUCUACCCGGGGGCUCAAGUCCAGCACCCAGGGGCCAACGCUAUGCUCACUGUAGAUCUCGGUGGCUCUACCUCAAAUAUGACUUCAGUGCACACACUUCUUUCCAUCCCUACCACCCCAAGCCAUGCUUUCCUGCUUAAACCAGUGUGACUGCCUCUUGGCUUUUCUUGUUCAGGAUAUAAAUCCAACAAUAGCUCUGGCUUAAAACCUGCCAAUAGCUUUCCACUAACAGUAAAAGAAUAUCCACAUGGCACAGACUUGAAUGUGGUUAGUAAGAUUGUGGAACUGAAUUUAACACUUUAUUUAUAUUUUUAAAAUGUUUUAAUGUUUAUUUAUUUUGAGAGAGAGAGAGAGAGAGAGAGAGAGAGAGAGUGCUUGCACAAGUGGGGGAGGGGCAGAGAGAGAGGGAGAGAGAAUCCCAAGCAGACUCCAUGCUGUCAGUGCACAGCCCAACGUGGGGCUCAAUCUCAUGAACCAUGAAAUGAUAACCUGAGCUGAAAUCAAGAGUCAGACACUUAACCAACUGAGCCACCCAAUCCCCCCAAUUCGACACUUUAUUUAAUUUUAACUUAUUUAGAUUUGGAUUUAAAAGCAAUUAUUGGCAAAAAUUUAAGAGUCUAAACAACUUAAAAUCAACUUGGAUAUGAGUACCUGCUCUUUCUACUGUAACCAUCGUGAAAUGUAAACACAGAUCAAAUAUUCCCAGGGAAAAUGUAGCACUCCCAUUGAGAUAUGCAGUACCUGUAAAAUGGACCCCAGAUUGGUAAGAGUAAAAGAAUACAAAAUUCUUCAUGAAUAAUUUUUAAUAUGGAGUGCAUAUUCAAUUUGUAACAUUUUGGAUACGUUGGGUUAAAUAAAUUAUAUCAGUCAAAUGA